CAUGCAAGUCGAACGGAACUGUUUUGAAAGAUUUCUUCGGAAUGAAUUUGAUUUAGUUUAGUGGCGGACGGGUGAGUAACGCGUGAGUAACCUGCCUUCAAGAGGGGGAUAACAUUCUGAAAAGAAUGCUAAUACCGCAUGAUAUAUCGGAACCACAUGAUUUUGAUAUCAAAGAUUUUAUCGCUUGAAGAUGGACUCGCGUCCGAUUAGUUAGUUGGUGAGGUAACGGCUCACCAAGACCGCGAUCGGUAGCCGGACUGAGAGGUUGAACGGCCACAUUGGGACUGAGACACGGCCCAGACUCCUACGGGAGGCAGCAGUGGGGGAUAUUGCGCAAUGGGGGCAACCCUGACGCAGCAACGCCGCGUGAAGGAUGAAGGUUUUCGGAUUGUAAACUUCUUUUAUUAAGGACGAAAAUUGACGGUACUUAAUGAAUAAGCUCCGGCUAACUACGUGCCAGCAGCCGCGGUAAUACGUAGGGAGCAAGCGUUGUCCGGAUUUACUGGGUGUAAAGGGUGCGUAGGCGGCUUUGCAAGUCAGAUGUGAAAUCUAUGGGCUCAACCCAUAAACUGCAUUUGAAACUGUAGAGCUUGAGUGAAGUAGAGGCAGGCGGAAUUCCCCGUGUAGCGGUGAAAUGCGUAGAGAUGGGGAGGAACACCAGUGGCGAAGGCGGCCUGCUGGGCUUUAACUGACGCUGAGGCACGAAAGCGUGGGUAGCAAACAGG
rnacentral:rRNA from 1 species